rnacentral:rRNA from 1 species
GGGUACAGGCCGAAUUAUCCUGAAGGCACCAGAUCUCACUGGAUUAUGGAAGCUAAGCAGGGUCAAUCCUGGUUAAUAUUUGGAUGGAGGAUCACCAAUGAAUACCUGGUUUGUAGGCU